rnacentral:rRNA from 1 species
UACGUAGGGGGCUAGCGUUGUCCGGAAUCAUUGGGCGUAAAGCGCGUGUAGGCGGUCCGGUAAGUCCGCUGUGAAAGUCGGGGGCUCAACCCUCGAAUGCCGGUGGAUACUGUCGGGCUAGAGUGCGGAAGAGGCGAGUGGAAUUCCUGGUGUAGCGGUGAAAUGCGCAGAUAUCGGGAGGAACACCAAUGGCGAAGGCAGCUCGCUGGGACGGUACUGACGCUGAGGCGCGAAAGCGUGGGGAGCAAACAGG